GGAAGGGCUGUAGCUCAGUGGUAGAGCAUCUGCCUCCUAUGCGGAAGGUCACAGGUUCAAUCCCUGGCAUUUCCA